GACGAACCGUGCGAACGUUAUUCGGAAUCACUGGGCUUAAAGCGCGUGUAGGCGGGGCGGUGCGUCGGUCGCUGAAAUCCCCCGGCUCAACCGGGGAAGGGGCGCCGAUACGACCGGCCUGGAGCGACGUAGGGGGAACUGGAACUUCCGGUGGAGCGGUGAAAUGCGUUGAGAUCGGAAGGAACGCCCGUGGCGAAAGCGAGUUCCUGGACGCUUACUGACGCUGAGGCGCGAAAGCCAGGGGAGCAAACGGG
rnacentral:rRNA from 1 species